AUCUUUACAAGGAUAACAUUUUUCUUUGCAAUACACAAGUUGAUAUAUAUGUUUUGUUAAUGCAAUUGCGAGAAUGUGUGUGUGUUAUGUGUGUGUGUUUUUCUUUUCCCCUUUUUAUUAUAAUGUUAAUAUUCAAAUAAUAUAUAUUCACAGUAGAAGAAAAAAAUGUAGUCAAUUUUUUGUUGUAUAUAUUAAACCCCUUAACACCAUAGUCAGGUGGUGAUGUAAAGGGAUUGUAAAAGCCUGACUACUG
rnacentral:lncRNA from 1 species